rnacentral:rRNA from 1 species
GACGAACGCUGGCGGCGUGCCUAAUACAUGCAAGUUGAGCGCUGAAGGUUGGUACUUGUCCCAACUGGAUGGGCAGCGAACGGGUGAGUAACGCGUGGGGAAUCUGCCUUUGAGCGGGGGACAACAUUUGGAAACGAAUGCUAAUACCGCAUAAAAACUUUAAACACAAGUUUUAAGUUUGAAAGAUGCAAUUGCAUCACUCAAAGAUGAUCCCGCGUUGUAUUAGCUAGUUGGUGAGGUAAAGGCUCACCAAGGCGAUGAUACAUAGCCGACCUGAGAGGGUGAUCGGCCACAUUGGGACUGAGACACGGCCCAAACUCCUACGGGAGGCAGCAGUAGGGAAUCUUCGGCAAUGGACGAAAGUCUGACCGAGCAACGCCGCGUGAGUGAAGAAGGUUUUCGGAUCGUAAAACUCUGUUGGUAGAGAAGAACGUUGGUGAGAGUGGAAAGCUCAUCAAGUGACGGUAACUACCCAGAAAGGGACGGCUAACUACGUG